rnacentral:rRNA from 1 species
GAUGAACGCUGACAGAAUGCUUAACACAUGCAAGUCCACUUGAACUUCGGUUUGGGUGGCGGACGGGUGAGUAACGCGUAAAGAACUUGCCUCACAGCUAGGGACACCAUUUUGAAACGAAUGCUAGUACCUGAUAUUAUUAUUUUAGGGCAUCCUAGAAUUAUGAAAGCUAUAUGCGCUGUGAGAGAGCUUUGCGUCCCAUUAGCUAGUUGGAGAGGUAACGGCUCACAAAGGCGAUGAUGGGUAGCCGGCCUGAGAGGGUGAACGGCCACAAGGGGACUGAGACACGGCCCUUACUCCUACGGGAGGCAGCAGUGGGGAAUAUUGGACAAUGGACCAAGAGUCUGAUCCAGCAAUUCUGUGUGCACGAUGAAGUUUUUCGGAAUGUAAAGUGCUUUCAGUUGGGAAGAAAAAAAUGACGGUACCAACAGAAGAAGUGACGGCUAAAUACGUG